UAUGGUUUAGUUACUCUCUCUUUAUAUGGUUUAGUUACUCUCUUCAUAUGGUUUAGUUACUCUCUCUUCCUAUGGUUUAGUUACUCUCUUCAUAUGGUUUAGUUACUCUCUUCAUAUGGUUUAGUUACUCUCUUCAUAUGGUUUAGUUACUCUCUCUUCCUAUGGUUUAGUUACUCUCUCUUCAUAUGGUUUAGUUACUCUUUUCAUAUGGUUUAGUUACUCUCUUCAUAUGGUUUAGUUACUCUCUUCAUAUGGUUUAGUUACUCUCUCUUCCUAUGCUUUAGUUACCCUCUUCAUAUGGUUUAGUUACUCUCUUCAUAUGGUUUAGUUACUCUCUUCAUAUGGUUUAGAUACUUUCUCUUCCUAUGCUUUCGUUACUCUCUCUUCAUAUGGUUUAGUUACUCUUUUCAUAUGGUUUAGUUACUCUCUUCAUAUGGUUUAGUUACUCUCUUCAUAUGGUUUAGAUACUUUCUCUUCCUAUGCUUUAGUUACUCUCUCUUCCUAUGCUUUAGUUACUCUCUGCCUGUCUUCGAUCAUGUUUGAUUUCACAUUUAGACGACAGACUCACACAGAAACUGACUACAGACAGGCCUCUAUUCAAUCUGUAAAGCAGAAACUGACUACAGACAGGCCUCUAUUCAAUCUGUAAAGCUGAAACUGACUACAGACAGGCCUCUAUUCAAUCUGUAAAGCAGAAACUGACUACAGACAGGCCUCUAUUCGAUCUGUAAAGCUGAAACUGACUACAGACAGGCCUCUAUUCAAUCUGUAAAGCAGAAACUGACUACAGACAGGCCUCUAUUCAAUCUGUAAAGCUGAAACUGACUACAGACAGGCCUCUAUUCAAUCUGUAAAGCUGAAACUGACUACAGACAGGCCUCUAUUCAAUCUGUAAAGCUGAAACUGACUACAGACAGGCCUCUAUUCAAUCUGUAAAGCUGAAGCGUUACGGAACCGUUCAUGAAAUGUCAAGAGGUAGUUCUGCUUGGCAGGGUCGUGUUUCUGAGGACACAUGGCUCUUGACCUUCGCCUCUCCCGAGUCCGUAGGGGAGUUACAUCGAUGGGACAAGACUGUAGCUACCAAUUGGAUAUCACGAAAUUGGGGAGAAAAAGGGGUAAAAGUAUAGGAAAAAAAGACAAAAAAAAUGUAUUUAAAAAAUGCAUGUAAAAGUAAUUUCCAAUUGAGCAGACCAAUGGACCGUUUUAUUUUUAUUUAACCAGGCAAGUCAGUUAAGAACAAAUUCUUAUUUACAAUGACGGCCUAGGAACAGUGGGUUAACUGCCUUGUACAGGGGCAGAACGACAGAUUUGUACCUUGCCAGCUCGGGAUUCAAUCUGGCAACCUUUCGGUUACUGGCCUAGGCUAUCUGCCGCCCCACUAGGCUAUCUGCCGCCCCAUUGACCGUGAAUGCAGUCUCUGCUAAAGCGGGAACAUUGUCUUUAUAUUUGAAUCAUGGUGUAAAACUAAACACCCGUGAUGCGGAUUGAAUAGAGCCCUAACACAGUGAAACUCACUACAGAUUAACACAGUGAAACUCACUACAGAUUAACACAGUGAAACUCACUACAGAUUAACACAGUGAAACUCACUACAGAUUAACACAGUGAAACUCACUACAGAUUAACACAGUGAAUACAGAUUAACACAGUGAAACUCACUACAGAUUAACACAGUGAAACUCACUACAGAUUAACACAGUGAAACUCACUACAGAUUAACACAGUGAAACUCACUACAGAUUAACACAGUGAAACUCACUACAGAUUAACACAAUGAAACUCACUACAGAUUAACACAGUGAAACUCACUACAGAUUAACACAGUGAAACUCACUACAGAUUAACACAGUGAAACUCACUACAGAUUAACACAGUGAAACUCACUACAGAUUAACACAAUGAAUACAGAUUAACACAGUGAAUACAGAUUAACACAGUGAAACUCACUACAGAUUAACACAGUGAAACUCACUACAGAUUAACACAGUGAAACUCACUACAGAUUAACACAGUGAAUACAGAUUAACACAGUGAAUACAGAUUAACACAGUGAAACUCACUACAGAUUAACACAGUGAAUACAGAUUAACACAGUGAAACUCACUACAGAUUAACACAGUGAAACUCACUACAGAUUAACACAGUGAAAUGGAAGACAGGCUCAUUUUUAUUUUUUACAUUGAAUGGAAAAUAUAACCCUUUUCCAUCUAAAUUAACCAUAGAAAGCACAACAUGUAUACAUUUAUAUACACAUAUAUAAAAGUAUCGCAACGUUUAAAAGACAUUCACCAGGUGGCACCAUGGCAUCUAGGUCUACUCACUUUACCUUGCUAUUCAUUGUUUUACUUCUUGCUGUGUAUUAUUUUAUUCAUCCUUGUGCCGUGAUUGGUUGGUUUUAAACAUGUUCAUUUCAGAGUAUUAAUAGACUACGUGUAUAAGGGUGAAAAUAUAUGAACUGUGGCCUUUUUCAUUCUCCUUGUUUACGAUGUGAUGCAAUUUAAAGUGAGGAACAAAUAGAGCGAGCACAGAGUUACCGUGGAUCAGUGCCUGGCAUUUUUUGUUCUUUGGCCUCCUUUGUCUAGUGCUCUUUUGCUAUGAAAUAAACUAGUGCACCCAAUCAUGAUAGAGAGGAGCAAAAAAAGAAGAAACUAAAUUUAAAAUAAAUGAAAAUAUAUUUGGCUUGUUUGUUUUGUUUUGUUCCAAGGGCAAUCCUUUUAUACCAGGUAUAUUGAGGAAAUAAGAUUUGGAAGAAGAAAGAAAAAAAGUAGAAAAGAAAAGUCCAAAAGUUUGUAAAAAAAAGUUUGAAAAGUUUGUAGAUCAUUUUUUGGGGAAAUCAUUCAAAGUAAAAGUUUGUUACUUUAUUUUACUGUUUAAAAGAUGUUAUUUCCCAUAUUACUGAGAUGAAACUGUAUGGUGUUUUCCAUGAUGGGCUAUAGUCAGACGGAGGGUCCCAUCCGUACGUACUGUACCUGCAGCAGUGAUUCUAAAGGAAAUUUAAAAUUUUUAAAAAUGACAGUUACACUUUCUUUCCAGUAUGUGGCUGAGUGCCUCAAAACCUUAUGUUAUUCUUUCUCUUUUCUUUUGACAUUUUCUUAAUUAUAUUUUCAGUUUCUGUUGUAUUUAAAAAAAUAUUUUUUAUCUUUAUGUUAUAAUUAUAAUUAUUAUUAUUGUUCUUGUUGUUUAUUAUAACUUUUUUUCUUCAGAUUGGUAGAUAUGUUCCGAACAGGUUGUGUGCUGGAGUUGCUUCUCUUCAAACCAGCCCAUCGUAGGCCCAUUGCCUGCUGUUUUUCAUCUUGUACUUAUUCUAUGAAGUCAUGUACAUGACCGUUCUGUAGCAAUAAAUGUGCCAUUUUUAUAACCUA
ensembl:lncRNA